AGAGUCCGCUAUGUUUCCGGUGGCUCGACUGCUGUGCUGCCUGGCAGCGGUAUGCGAUUAUCGCCCUCCUUAAAGAACAGCGAUACUUGCUGGUAAAAUGAGUCAAACCUGAUUGGUUGGCACUGAGCUGGAACGAAUGAGUCAAACCUGAUUGGCUGGCACACUGUGGGAACUGUCCUAUUAACAGAAAGGUCGUCUGAUGGAAUGAGGCUGCGGGUAUGAGGAGUCUGGCGUCUACUGAUCUCUCCCAUGGGGGACAAUCAUGAAAUCUGCUUAGAGGAGUGUAUGCGGAGUCAUUUAAAGAGAAGAUCUCAUGUAAUGAAGCACUUCUGUUUAUUAAUGUGUAUUCUGACUGUACAAUAUUUCAUUGAAUAAAGGAAGAACUUAUUGCUACCUA